UACAGAGGGUGCGAGCGUUAAUCGGAAUUACUGGGCGUAAAGCGUGCGUAGACGGCUAUCUAAGUCUGUUGUGAAAGCCCCGGGCUCAACCUGGGAAUGGCAAUGGAUACUGGCAAGCUAGAGUGCGGUAGAGGGUAGUGGAAUUCCCGGUGUAGCGGUGAAAUGCGUAGAGAUCGGGAGGAACACCAGUGGCGAAGGCGGCUACCUGGACCAGCACUGACACUGAGGCACGAAAGCGUGGGGAGCAAACAGG
rnacentral:rRNA from 1 species